CCUACGGGAGGCAGCAGUAGGGAAUCUUCCACAAUGGGCGAAAGCCUGAUGGAGCAACGCCGCGUGGGUGAAGAAGGUCUUCGGAUCGUAAAACCCUGUUGUUAGAGAAGAAAGUGCGUGAGAGUAACUGUUCACGUUUCGACGGUAUCUAACCAGAAAGCCACGGCUAACUACGUGCCAGCAGCCGCGGUAAUACGUAGGGGGCAAGCGUUAUCCGGAUUUAUUGGGCGUAAAGGGAACGCAGGCGGUCUUUUAAGUCUGAUGUGAAAGCCUUCGGCUUAACCGGAGUAGUGCAUUGGAAACUGGGAGACUGGAGUGCAGAAGAGGAGAGUGGAACUCCAUGUGUAGCGGUGAAAUGCGUAGAUAUAUGGAAGAACACCAGUGGCGAAAGCGGCUCUCUGGUCUGUAACUGACGCUGAGGUUCGAAAGCGUGGGUAGCAAACAGGAUUAGAUACCCCAGUAGUC
rnacentral:rRNA from 1 species